UAAAGUUGUUGCAGUUAAAAAGCUCGUAGUUGAAUUUCGGGGUCAGCAAGUUGGUCGUGCCACUGGUAUGUACUAGCUUUACUGAUUCCUCCUUCUUGCAGAACCGUAAUGCCAUUAAUUUGGUGUUGCGGGGAAACAGGACUGUUACUUUGAAAAAAUUAGAGUGUUUAAAGCAGGCUAACGCUUGAAUACAUUAGCAUGGAAUAAUGAAAUAGGACGUUCGAUCCUAUUUUGUUGGUUUCUAGGAUUGACGUAAUGAUUAAUAGGG
rnacentral:rRNA from 1 species